GCAAAUGAUGCAAACUAAAUGAUUGAUUUUUUUAUAUAUGCAAAUAGGUAUGCAAUGCAUGACUCAAUGAAACAACAUCAAAGCAAACAUGAUCAAAUACUUGGUACCUCCCCCAAACUUGAGUUACACAGUCUCUGUGUUGUCAAGUAGAGAGAGAGAUACCGAAAAGAAGACUAAUAUGCAAAAAUGAAAUGGUAUAUACAAGGGAGUGUGGUGGGUUACCUUCUAUGGGGAAUGAGUAGAGGGAGAUGCUUCCUCCUCGUCGUCCUCAGGUGGUAACUCUUCAAGGUGCUCAUCAGUAGGAGUGCACAUCUCUUCAAUGUAGAAGGCUUGCCCGAAUACAGUUGGUUUCCUCAUUUUCUCCUUGAUGUCAAAGUGGAGGAUGUUCUCUUUACCCAAAUGGAGAUCAAUCGUGCCCUCCUUCACAUUAACAAUAGCUCCUGCUGUAGCUAAGAAUGGCUUUCCUAGAAUCAAUGGGUCUUGAGCCUCCUCACCCAUCUCAA
rnacentral:lncRNA from 1 species